rnacentral:rRNA from 1 species
AUUGAUCGCUAGCGGGAUGCUUUACACAUGCAAGUCGAACGAGUGGCGGACGGGUGAGUAAUAUAUCGGAACGUGCCCAAUAGCGGGGGAUAACUACUCGACAGAGUGGCUAAUACCGCAUACUAUUGGAGCUGCCGAUAUCGGAUGAGCUAGUUGUGGGGGUAAAGGCACACCAAGGCAACGAUCCGGAGCUGGUUGGAGAGGACGACCAGCCACACUGGGACUGAGACACGGCCCAGACUCAUACGGGAGGCAGCGGUGGGGAAUUUUCGACAAUGGGCGAAGCCCUGAUCCAGCCAUCCCGCGUGUAUGAGAAGGCCUGCGGGUUGUAAAGUACUUUUGGCAGAGAAGCGGUAUCUGCAGAAUAAGCACCGGCUAACUACGUGCCAGCAGCCGCGGUAAUAC